UCGCGAGAUGGCGGCUAGGGGCGUGGCCCGGCCGCUCCCGUGACGCGUAUGUGUUCCUGCGCCUGCGCCCUGCUUAGUGGAAAAUAACCAGACGCUGGGAUAGGAAACGCUGCGGUAACCGGCGGACUGUGGUACCUGUUGCCCCGAUAGUGUCUUGACAGCGUGUGCGAUUGUUGUCCUGUAUCUGCCAGCAACUGUAUUGCAUUGAAUUGUUGGUCAGUCUUAUUGAUGGAUAUGGCUGGAAUGAGGAAGGCCGUGUUCUGUCAGCCUUGGGAGGAGGAGGAGUGCCUGGAGUACUAUGGCAUGCGCUCCCUGCACCGCAUGUUUGAUGUCAUUGGCUCUCAGUUAACAGAGAGUGAUAUUGAUGCCCUGUCUUUCCUGUUGAACGAAUCGUAUUCUUCUACACACCCCCUGGACCCUCGUAUCUGGACAGUGGAGGAAGCGGAUGAAGUGCCUAAUAGUUCCUUGCUGGCUGCGUGGCAGAGGUGGAACCGUGGCACUAGAACCAGUAGUGACUUAGACACUCCUGAUUUAUCAAGACCUAAAAAUGGCACUGAGCUACUAUUGGAACUGGAGCGGUGGGGGAAAUGCGAUGAGACCAACUUCACACACCUCCUCCAAUUACUUCGGGUAUUAACUCGGCAUGACCUUCUCCCGUAUGUCUCCCAGAAAAGACCCCGUACAGUAUCCCCCGAGAGGUAUACAUAUGGUCCUUCCGUUGUAGACUCCGGAAAACAGAUGGACGGAUGUUUAAACACGACACCUUCACAAGCCACUGAAGAAAUCUGGGAAACAGGUUCUAAUGGCAACAAAAGGAAGCGAGUAGGAAAUGUAAAGGGGCGCUGCCCAAGACCAAAAAAGAACAAAGUGAGCAAUGUUCCUCCACAGGCAGAGACUGCUCAGACCAAAGUCACAUGUGGUAAGUAUAGUCAUAUCUCCCAUGUAUGUGUCCAUCAGCCUCCAGAACUCCUCAUCUGUGACCCGAUGGGGAACCUUUUACAUGUGUACUCGCCCUAUGUGCCACAGCCAACCAAGAGUCUAUGUAAAGCGCUGCUUAGUUCAGUUCUCAGUGUCUCAUACUCUUUGUAAAGUGGAAUGCCCUAUUGUCUGCCCACUAAUGGUUUCCUCGCCUACUGCAAAGUAAUACUAGCUUCUCUGGUAGUAACUCUAACUGACCCCAAAACUAAAUGACUUCUUGUGUUAAUUGACUCUGCAUGGAUAAGAGUCGUAGUACAUAAUAAGUGCUGUAGCACCAUCCAGGGGACCAAAAUACCUCUCCCUCAUGUUUACCAAAGCUGCUAAUUUCCGAUUACGCUAACCGGAUGGUAUGUCUGGACUGCAAUCUGCACUUUCUGUACCGCACUGAUCACAUGCUGAUCUGUCAUUUCCUGCCUAGCGAAGUAUACUACAUCACCUGCUGUAAUCUUACACUGGAGCAAAAAACACAGUAUCAAGCAGUUUACCAUAUGGCGAUGCCAGUAUAGUGGAGUAAUAGUCCUCCUAUACAAAUUAUUAGGUGCCUUUCUAUUCUAUUCUGUUAGAAACUUGCUCAACCAAUGGUGUGCUGUUUGUAAUUAAAGCUUCAUUCCGCCAAAAACAGAAUUUUACUUAUACAGUACGUGGGAUAUCCUACAAAAAACACUGUUCCGAAAGACUGGCUUUUCCGAGCCUUGCGCCUGCCUAUUCACUCGCUCCUUAGUGUAUGCUUGAAUGAAAAUAGACUUUUAGUGGCAAAUGGGAGUAGAUUGCAGCAGAUAUUGCUGGAUUCUGGUUUGCAGGGGAUGGGGCGGGGGCAGGACACAAUGUAAGUAACCUUUCCAAAACUGUGUGGAAUUGCCCAUUAAUCACUCCACUAAUUCAUAGGUUCCCAAUCUCUGUCCUCGGGAUCCAAACAAUGCAUGUUUUCCAGGUUUCCCUCACAGAAUCACAAGUGAAAAGGGUCACCUGAGGAUCUUUAAAAAUCUGUCUGAGAGUAAUGGUUACACUUGGUCACCUGGUGGGUGACCUGGAAAACGUGACCUGUUUGGGGUCAAAGGACAGAGUUUGAGACCCUAUGCACUAGCUACACCACUCCAAAAAGAACGUUGCAGCCUUCUGGCAGUUUUAUAGGUUUGUUUCAGUCCUUCCACAAAAGACCUAGAACACUUUCAAAUAACACGCUUGUGGAGGGCAGCUUAAAAUGAAAUGCACAUGCUUUAAGUUUUGUCUUUAGUGUGUCCUAGAACCCACCCAGCCCAUGUGUUCAGUACACACGUGCCAAUUGCAGUCACCACGACGUUUUCUACAUUUAAAAAGGCUGAGAAAAAACUUGCUGCUGUGUUGCUGUUACCUAGUGCACCCUAGUACUAAUUCAGCCAUUAAAAUCGGCCUUAUUGAUCAUUACACCGUGUCAGUCUGAUAGCACACCCAUUCAUUGUUUUCUCUGCAACAAGGUGCCAGUCUAAUGUGUCUUGUCUAACUUGUCUCUGCUCCAACGUCUCUCACAUUUUGACAGUUACAGGAAAUGAGUGCUUAAGAAGACAUUUACUAAUUAAACUAGUAAAUACAUAAAACAAAUCUUCAUACCUGUGCUACGUGGAUGAAACAGUAAGACCUUUCACCUCUUCCGUGUCGUGUUUUUCCUUUCUCUAACCCAUCUCUCACUGGCAGAAGGGCUGUGUGACAACGCAGUUUUUGCAGACCCCUGUGACAGUGAGGGGAAUGGCGAGUGUAGGAUUUUCCAUUGCUGGGGAGAUUGCAUGUUGUCUGCUACUAUAACCUCUUCAGUAUAGAUGAAAAACCAUGUUGCCUCCGUAUAGACACACCUCUAAAGAUCAAGUGUUUAAGUGCACUGUAUUGUAUUCUUUAAUUCAGUACUUGCAAAACGUUCUUUGGUGCAGAAGCAAUAAAAAAAGAGCACAGGGUGUCUUGUGCCAGUCUUCUAAGACUACAUUUUAUAUGUAAAAAAAACAAAAACAAAAAAAACUGCCUUCAGAGGGGUUGUUGGGAUCAGUAAAAUGUAUUUAGAAUGGCGUGUAUAUAAAUGUUUUGCACCAUUGUAUAACACCUAUAUGGUGCAUCUGGAGGCUUCAUUAUGUCCUGAUCAUUGCGCUGUUGCUGUCCUGUUUUUUUUUUGUUUUGUUUUUUGAAGUAUGACCUUAUUUGAAAGUUAGGUUCCACAGUAGGAGUAAAAAGUCAUUCUACACCAUAAAACGUCGUAAUGUACCAGUCUGUCUCUCAUUCAGAACCAGUUUUACAUUAAGUGAGCGCUAGUUUAUACAUUGAUACCUUAUGAAGACUUCUAAUCCUACUUCAUUAUUUUUAAUAUUAAAGCAUCAAUUCUUAUGUAUGCUUUGUUAGAUAAUAUGUAUGCAGACUUUUUUUUUUAUUUUUUAUGAUUUCACCCAUGACAGGAGCUGUUUAAAAGUGGGCAAAAUAUAAAUGAACUUGAUCACUUUUAAGGCGUUCCUGUAUGGUGGUUUUUCUUUUGUUUUUUCACCUUCCAGUGCUCCUCCUAACGUAUCCUCUGAAAUGUCAUGGUGUUUGUUUAUUCUCUACAGUCGACUUUCUCUAAAAUUUAAAUUCCAGGUUUACUGAGCAAAGGUUGAUGCUUAAGAGAGAAAGUCUCUCUGUUAAGGAAAUGAUCAUGGUCUCAACCCUUCAAAAGUUACAAGCGUACGAUAUAAAUAAGGUAAAUGUAAGACUUCUAUACGUGAGAGCCGGUUGCGUCAGAUAGAAUUCCAUAGACGUCAGUACAACGUGACCGCCACGGUCUUCCUCUCAGCAUGCAGAUACAGGAGCCGCAUACUUUGAUCUGUUAAACAUUUGAGUUGGGAGAGUGGCGUUUAUAGGUCUACUCCCUGUCCCUACUCAAUGUUCACCUAAUUGGCAACAGCUGAUAUUAAAUGUUCCCUUUUUUCCAACUGCCACACUCGCCUAUUUUACCUAAAAUUUGUUGCAUUCAGCUGCGUAUACUAGAACUGUGCAAAACCGAUGAGACACGCAGAAUCCUUGUUAGUCUCCCUUUGCUGCAGAUACCAGAAAUAAAAGGUCCUGUUGAAUCUGUCCUUAGAACUUCAGUUUAUUACAAUCUGGUUACCAUUUAUUUUUUUAUUUUAUAUUACCAGCUAUAGCCAGGGUUGUUUUUUUUUUUUUUUUACUUAACUAUUUACACCUAUCAAAGCUGCUUAAGUAUUCUCGACAAAGAUGGAAGUAAUGGCUGUGAUACAGGGGCCUGAUUCAGAUGAGGUCGCUAUGCUGACAUAGCAGCGAUCCGUUUUCAGUGAUGAAACUGCGAUGCAUUACUAGGUUAGUAGCCGCCCACAAGUGAAGAAAUGCCUCCCGAAGCUAUCGCAACUAGAUGUGAGGAACAUCGAAUCCCUGAGUGCCUUCACAGCCGCGCAGAAUGCCCGCAGGACUUUAAGACACUGUCGCCAUGUUAAAUGUGUACAAGAACGCAGUCGCAUGAUUCCCCUUUGUUUUUGCAGACACCCCUCCACAUGUCCUCUUCCUGUAAUUCACUCUGUGACGGUUCCUUACUGCGUCAUCGCAGAUGUACUCCAGCAUGUGCGCACUGCGGCCGCGAUGCAUGAUGCGCAGUCUGCCGAUAAUCACUUACUUGCGACACCUUCAAAGUUGCAACCGCAUCUGAAUAAGGCCCACAGUGCUUCCUUAUCGGAGAAACCUUUGUUAAGACCGCCAAUGGAAAAAGCAUUAUAAAGCUGCUCUGACAGCCUGGCACUGCAACUCAAUGGUAAACAUGGGAGCAAAAAUACAAGCUUGUUUUGUUUCUGCUUCAGUCUGCGCUGUAUUAUACAAGCUGCUCCACUCAUCAGAUAAUUAUCUCACCAUGGACACUCAUUGUCUUAAGAAGUCCUAAAAUCAACUGUUUUUGCCUGUUCUUUUAUUUGUGGUGUUGUAUAAAUAAAGAGUAAUACAUAUA